rnacentral:lncRNA from 1 species
GAACUUGUGGUGGUUUCAGUUAUUGCUGGACUGAAGGAGAUGUGGACUGAAGCGACGAUGAGAAACGAUGUUAAAGCUAUUGUUUUGACUUGUGAGCUUUCUCAAUUCACUAGCUUUUCGUAAUUUAGUGAUAUCUUCCAACAAACCUGUUGGGACAUUUUAUAGUAAUUUAAGCAUGUCUAAACCAUAUACAUGCCUCCGGCCAUUGUUUUGAAGUUGCCUUUCUAUCCCAAGGAUUUUCUAUCACGCUUACAUGGUAUGAAGUUCAGGAAGAGAAAUACUGUGCGUAGGGAUCCUUUGAACAAAACAUGUCAUACUUACAAAUUGUUUUCUAUCAAGAAAGGUUCUGGAUGUUGCUGAAAUUGACAGCUGUUUCCGGAGAAAUUUGUAAAAGAAAUUUAACUUUCUACAAGACGUGGUUAUGAAGUGUUAGUGAUCUAUUGCUUUAUGUGAUGCUUUAUGGAUUUCUUUUUAAGUUCAAUUAUUUGGUAAGUUCGGCAUUUUCCUUAACUUCGUUUGGUGAGCUUUGCAUAGCCGGUCCAAGACCAGCCUGGAUAAAGGAGGUUGGUGGUUAGUUAAAAUUAUAGUUACAAUUUGAUGAAUCAUAUAGGAGUUCUAGUUUUCAUUGAGGCGUAUAUGUGUUCUGCAUCAUACUUAUGUUAGUCUUCCCUUGCAUUUCAAGUUUAUGUUCUCUAUAUUUUUAUUCAGGAAAUGGAGGCAGAUUUUCUGGUGGUUUUGAUAUCAACGUUUUUCAGAAGGUUCAUGAGACUGGUAUGAUUACUUUGUUUUCAUCUUUGUACAUUUCAAGUUGUGUCUCAGUGAAAACCUACUUGUUGAAAAAUGGAUCUGGAUUGUUUCAGGGGAUAUUUCUCAAAUGCCUGAUGUUUCUGUUGAUCUUGUGGUGAACAGGAUGGAAGGUAGUUGACACUGUUUAGAUCAAAUUUCAGAUCCUUUGUAAUUGUGCGUAAAAACAUAAAUAUAAUUAUAACUUAUUAAGGUUGUAAGUAAAAUGGGGUAAAGGGUAAAAUAAGAAUAGAAAAUAUUAUAUCUGGGCAUAGUUGAAAAAAUAAAUAAGAAAACCACGCAAAACCACCAAAUUGGUGGUUCUAAAAAUUGGACAAUUCCAUGGUUCGGAAUGGUUCCCAAACCAUGAAAGAUUACCAUACCAUACCAUGUCUUUUAAAAAACAAUCAAAACAAACAUAAUUUCGUUGGAAACCAUACCAUACCAUACCACAGAAAACCACCAUCCAAACAACCUGUAAAGUUCCCAUUGCGAAAUUGCUUUGUAAUUACUUUUAGCCAAUUAUUCCUACAUGCAACUUUUCCUACGCGGGUGCACAUUCUCCCUUCCCCCACAAACACACCCACCCACGCACCUCUCUCCCUAUAUACACUAGCAAUAUCAAUAUACUAUAAUUCACCACUGUCAAACUUCCUUUAUUUAAAUUGCCUUCCUCUUAACUCUUUUCUCCUCGACUUGAUUCUUUGAAAUCGCGAAAAUACACUUACAGUUCACGGAAGUAGAAAAUGGCCCGAGUUAAGGUGACAAUGGAGGUGGGAACCGACGGUGUCGCCAUCAUCACCAUCUUUAAUCCUCCUGGGAACGCUCUAGCUAUUCCAAGUAAGCUUAUCCCUUUCUCUACCAAUUUCAAUUCAUGUGUUUUGAUUGGAUUUUGAUUCGAACUUGUGGUGGUUUCAGUUAUUGCUGGACUGAAGGAGAUGUGGACUGAAGCGACGAUGAGAAACGAUGUUAAAGCUAUUGUUUUGACUUGUGAGCUUUCUCAAUUCACUAGCUUUUCGUAAUUUAGUGAUAUCUUCCAACAAACCUGUUGGGACAUUUUAUAGUAAUUUAAGCAUGUCUAAACCAUAUACAUGCCUCCGGCCAUUGUUUUGAAGUUGCCUUUCUAUCCCAAGGAUUUUCUAUCACGCUUACAUGGUAUGAAGUUCAGGAAGAGAAAUACUGUGCGUAGGGAUCCUUUGAACAAAACAUGUCAUACUUACAAAUUGUUUUCUAUCAAGAAAGGUUCUGGAUGUUGCUGAAAUUGACAGCUGUUUCCGGAGAAAUUUGUAAAAGAAAUUUAACUUUCUACAGGACGUGGUCAUGAAGUGUUAGUGAUCUGUUGCUUUAUGUGAUGCUUUAUGGAUUUCUUUUAAGUUCAAUUAUUUGGUAAGUUCGGCAUUUUCCUUAACUUCGUUUGGUGAGCUUUGCAUAGCCGGUCCAAGACCAGCCUGGAUAAAGGAGGUUGGUGGUUAGUUAAAAUUGUAGUUAUAAUUUGAUGAAUCAUAUAGGAGUUCUAGUUUUCAUUUAGGCGUAUAUGUGUUCUGCAUCAUACUUAUGUUAGUCUUCCCUUGCAUUUCAUGUUUAUGUUCUCUGUAUUUUUAUUCAGGAAAUGGAGGCAGAUUUUCUGGUGGUUUUGAUAUCAACGUUUUUCAGAAGGUUCAUGAGACUGGUAUGAUUACUUUGUUUUUCUCUUUGUACAUUUCAAGUUGUGUCUCAGUGAAAACCUCCUUGUUGAAAAAUGGAUCUGGAUUGUUGCUGGGGAUAUUUCUCAAAUGCCUGAUGUUUCUGUUGAUCUUGUGGUGAACACGAUGGAAGGUAGUUGACACUGUUUAGAUCAAAUUUCAGAUCCUUUGUACAGCUCUUUGCUCCUGGUGCUUCUCUGUAUUGUUCUAUAGUCAAUUGUUAUUUACAAAUCUGUCAAUCCUGUUAUUUUUGUAAUUUUAGAUGG